rnacentral:rRNA from 1 species
UACGUAGGGGGCAAGCGUUGUCCGGAUUUAUUGGGCGUAAAGAGCUCGUAGGCGGCUUGGCAAGUCGGAUGUGAAACCCCCAGGCUUAACCUGGGGACGCCACUCGAAACUGCCAUGGCUAGAGUCCGGUAGGGGAUCACGGAAUUCCUGGUGUAGCGGUGAAAUGCGCAGAUAUCAGGAGGAACACCAGUGGCGAAGGCGGUGAUCUGGGCCGGAACUGACGCUGAGGAGCGAAAGCGUGGGGAGCGAACAGG